CACACGCCCGUCACACCAUGGGAGUGGGUUUCACCAGAAGCCGGUCGCUUAACCCGCAAGGGAUGGCGCCGACCACGGUGAGAUCAUGACUGGGGUG
rnacentral:rRNA from 1 species